GCCAUGGCUGGAGUUCCCAAAUUGGCUGGAUUUCGUUUCCAAAAUGAGCUAGGGAACCCUAAAUCGAAAUCUUCACAAAUCGAUCUCAAAUUUGGGCCCCAAAUCUGAGUUGACGCUCGGCUGACGCCUUCGUCCGACGCUCACCUGUUGCCUUCGCCGGACGCUUGCUCGAGGCUUUGCCCAGAUUCGCUCGCUCGACGCCUUCGUCCGACGCUAGGCCGACGCCUUUGUCCGACGCUCACCCCUGCCUUCGCCAGAUGCUCACUCGAGGCUUUGCCCAGAUUCGCUUGAUCGACGCUUGACCAAACCCGUCGUCCAGCACCUGACACUCGUUCUACGCUUGCUCAACGCCUUCGCCGUCUUGUUUCUCGAGAUUGUGAACCUUGGGCAAGACUGAUCCAACUAGUUCAUCAGAGAGAGAAUUUCUCGCAUAUAGUUGCUGCCUCUGGUUCAUUUGGGAAGAAUAUCCUCCCUGGAGCUGCUACCCUCUUAGAUGUCUCUCCAGGAAUUUCAUAAUCAAUAAAGUUUGUUACGUACAAUGGAGUUCCUGACCUAUUUAAAAAAGAUUCAUCUUCUAGUGUGCAAUUUGGUUGAUGACCAUGAGUUUAUGAAAACAUAAUAGGCAUCAGUUGCUUGUUGAACUUUGACAGUGACACAUCAUUCACUAUAUCACAUUUUUUUCACA